UCCAUUUGAUAUCUUAAAAAUAAGAAUUGAUUUUUUAAAUCAAAGAUAGUAGAUUAAUAAAUACUUCAAAUG
rnacentral:tRNA from 1 species